rnacentral:other from 1 species
CUGUCCGUCGCAAUCGCGUGGGUUCUAUAUUUCCUUGAACCGAUGCUCUCGCGAGCCUGGGCUUGGAACAUUGCAAGGCUGGUGUGAGCGUCUCGCGUCAGAUGAACCCGAAGCCUUGCUGACCUCGCCCACCUGAAUCCCCUGGGUUCAGGAAUGCGGCCCACGGUAUGCGACGGACACC